rnacentral:rRNA from 1 species
AUACGUAGGUGACAAGCGUUAUCCGGAUUUACUGGGCGUAAAGGGCGUGUAGGCGGUCUUGCAAGUCAGGUGUGAAAUGCAGAGGCUUAACCUCUGAAUUGCAUUUGAAACUGUUUUUCUUGAGUACUGGAGGGGCAAUCGGAAUUCCUAGCGGAGCGGUGAAAUGCGUAGAUAUUAGGAGGAACACCAGUGGCGAAGGCGGAUUGCUGGACAGCAACUGACGGUGAGGCGCGAAAGUGUGGGGAGUAAACAGGAUUAGAUACCCUGGUAGUCCACGCUGUAAACGAUGAAUACUAGGUGUGGGGGGACUGACCCCCUCCGUGCCGCAGUUAACACAAUAAGUAUUCCACCUGGGGAGUACGGCCGCAAGGUUGAAACUCAAAUGAAUUGACGGGG